CAGGACGUUAGGCUACAGGUUGUUAGGCUGUGUGCAAAAUCUAGAGAAGCUAUUUCGUCUCCUGUUCAGCAUCUCACACUUCAUUAUCAGGUUAGGCACCUUGAUACCUCUGAAAAGAGUGAAUUUCACAAGUUAUAGCAACUGAAAGAUGAACAAGGUGAAUUGUCCAGUAGUGAUGAGAAGAAGUACAAGGCACUAAAGCGUGCCACUGAAAGAGAGAUACUGCAGAGUGCUGAUGUCAUUUGUUGCACCUAUGUCGGUGCUGGAGAUCCUCGUCUUUCAAACUUCCGUUUCCGACAAGUUCUUAUUGAUGAGUCCACACAGGCAAUAGAGCCUGAAUGUCUUAUUCCUUUGGUGCUUGGUGUCAAGCAGGUUGUCCUUGCCGGAGAUCAUUGCCAAUUGGGUCCUAUCAUCAUGUGCAAAAAAGCAGCCCAUGCAGGAUUAGCACAAUCUCUCUUUGAGUGCCUUGUUAUCCUCGGAGUGAAGCCAUUCAGGCUACAGAUAAUACCUGCAUAUGAUGUACCUUGGUGUUAUUAUCCUUUCCCUGCUUCAUUCUGCAACUUUGGCACUCCAUGUAUAAUGGCUAUAGUUUUUUCUUGAUUUAUUUAGUUAUAGCAGUUACUUACAUUUUUAUGUCAUGAUAAUUACUCCUCAUUAGACAUUUUGGAAACUAUUGUUUUUUGUACUUCACAUAAAUGAGUUCAUGCUGAUGUUAUCUGGUUUUUCCUGCUGUUAUCGAUCUAUUAAGUUAUGUCAAAACUUGAAACAAUGGUAUUGCCAGGAUUAAUAGUCAUAAUUAGAAGUGAGCUGAUAACUCUAUACCAUCAGCAAUACUUCUAACUCAAGUCAUCUCUGAUUUAUAGGUCUAGUAUAGAAUGCAUCCAUGCCUCUCAGAGUUUCCAUCCAACUACUUUUAUGAAGGCACACUGCAAAAUGGAGUGACUGUUAAUGAGAGGCAAUCGUCUGGAAUUGAUUUUCCUUGGCCUGUUCCAAAUCGCCCAAUGUUCUUCUAUGUGCAGGUAGCUUCUUUGACAACUAUGGAAAUAUUGAUGUGUUUCAUACACAAACUCUUAUCUGGAUGUGCUGCAUAUCCAUACUAAUAUCUGCAGAUGGGACA